UACAGAGGUCUCAAGCGUUGUUCGGAAUCACUGGGCGUAAAGGGUGCGUAGGCGGCGGGGAAAGUCAGAUGUGAAAUCCGGAGGCUCAACCUCCGAAAUGCAUCCGAUACUCCCUCGCUAGAGAUUUGUAGAGGAGCUUGGAAUUCUCGGUGUAGCAGUGAAAUGCGUAGAUAUCGAGAAGAACGCUCGCAGCGAAGGCGAAGCUCUGGGCAAAUUCUGACGCUGAUGCACGAAGGCUAGGGGAGCAAACGGG
rnacentral:rRNA from 1 species